rnacentral:rRNA from 1 species
GCCUACGGGAGGCAGCAGUGAGGAAUAUUGGUCAAUGGUCGGGGGACUGAACCAGCCAAGCCGCGUGAGGGAGGAAGGUACAGAGUAUCGUAAGCCUCUUUUGUCAGGGAACAAAGGCGGGGACGUGUCCCCGGAUGAGUGUACCUGAAGAAAAAGCAUCGGCUAACUCCGUGCCAGCAGCCGCGGUAAUACGGAGGAUGCGAGCGUUAUCCGGAAUGAUUGGGCGUAAAGGGUGCGUAGGCGGCCUGCUAAGGCUGGAGGGAAAGGGACCGGCUCAACCGGUACAGGCUCUGGAAACUGGCGGG